GUAGGGACCAAGCGUUGUUCGGAUUUACUGGGCGUAAAGGGCGCGUAGGCGGCGUGUUAAGUCAGCUGUGAAAUCUCCAAGCUUAACUUGGAACGGUCAGCUGAUACUGAUGUGCUAGAGUGCAGAAAGGGCAAUCGGAAUUCUUGGUGUAGCGGUGAAAUGCGUAGAUAUCAAGAGGAACACCUGAGGCGAAGGCGGGUUGCUAGGCUGACACUGACGCUGAGGCGCGAAAGCUAGGGUAGCAAACGGGAUUAGAUACCCCGGUAGUCCUAGCCCUAAACGAUGAAUACUUGGUGUCUGGAGUUUUAAUUCUCCGGGUGCCGUCGCUAACGUUUUUAGUAUUCCGCCUGGGGAGUACGCACGCAAGUGUG
rnacentral:rRNA from 1 species